AUUCCCAAUCUUCUCUAUUUCCUUCUCCUCAAACACAGCCUGGGAGUGUUUGAGAAGGGGAUUGAGGAGAUUGGGAAG
rnacentral:pre_miRNA from 17 species